rnacentral:rRNA from 1 species
GAUGAACGCUAGCGGCAGGCUUAAUACAUGCAAGUCGAACGGGAUUCGAGGUAGCAAUACUUUGAUGAGAGUGGCGCACGGGUGCGUAACGCGUAUGCAACCUACCUUUAACAGGGAGAUAGCCCCGAGAAAUCGGGAUUAAUAUUCCAUAACAUUGCGAAAUGGCAUCAUUUUGCAAUUAAAGCUACGGCGGUUAAAGAUGGGCAUGCGUGACAUUAGCUAGUUGGUGAGGUAACGGCUCACCAAGGCUACGAUGUCUAGGGGUCCUGAGAGGGUUAUCCCCCACACUGGUACUGAGACACGGACCAGACUCCUACGGGAGGCAG